GGGGGGCAGCUCCGGCGGAGAGGCCGCGGGGGCGAGGGCUCCGGGCCGCGGCUCGGCGGUGCCUCCCGCCGCCCGCUCCCUCGCUGCCUCCCGCGGCGCUCGGCCCGGCCGGGCCGGGCAAGCUGUUGCUCUGGCUCCCGGCGGCGGAGAAAGUCGGCGAGGAGGGCGGGCCGGCGGGGGCAGGCGGGGGCCGCGCUGCCGGGCGCCUCCGCGGCCCCGGGGUGCGAGCGGCGAAGGCGGCGGCGGUGCCCGCGGCGGGGCGGGCGGCAAGCGGCUGGCGGGACGCGGCGCCCGCGGGCUACGCGCGCUCCCGGGAAAGGUCCAUGUAAGUCCGAGAAAGUAACAAAACUGCCGUAAGUCUCGGCGGCGGCGUGGGGGCGGCUCGGCCGGCGGCGGGACCCCGCUGCGGGCGGGGAGCGCGGCCGGCCCGGGCGGGGCAGAGCGGGGGAGCCGCCGGGUGUCCCCCCGAGGGGGCGGCGCAGCCCGGCACGCCGCUCCGGCGCUUCCGCCGUGCCCCGGCUCCGGGAGGCGGUGGGAGAGCAAAUCCCAGCGGCGGCGGGGGGCUGCCCUCCCUGCGGGCUCCCCUCCACCCCCAGGCCCCGGCAGCUCCGGCCCCGGCGCGGUGCGGCCGGAGCGCAGCGGUGCGGCCGUUCGGUGCCCGAGCUGUGCCGAGAAAACAAAGCUCCCCCUGCCGAGAGCGGGCCUUUAACUCCCCGCCGCAUCAAGGUGAGCUUGCGGAAAAAAAAAAAAAAAAAAAAAAAAAAAAAAAAAAAAAAAUCCACCCCGCCACGCCGCAGGCGCGGCCGCUACGCACCUCCCCGCCCAGAGCCGGCGGGAGCCGCGCCGGCUUUGGCCGCUGUUUAAUGCCGGUGCUCGGCGGGCGCCCCCCCCCCCCCCCCCCGCCCCCCACACUCACCCACCCACCCACCCACCCCGAGUCCCGCGGCUGCCUGCUCCGUGGGCAGCAGCCACCCGUGCCGCUCCUCGGGGCUCGGCAGCGCCCGUCGCCCCCCCCCCCCCCCCGCCGGGGGUCACCGUGGGAGCCUCGUGGGAGCCCCGUGGUGCCCCGGGGGAGCGGGCGAGCCGCCACCCGCGCGCUUCGGCACCCACAUCGUGAAAAAGAGCCUCGGGUUUUGCAGCCCGAGCACCGCAACGGGAAAGUGUGACACUAAUUCGUGAAGGGUUAAUGAAAAGCAAUAAUGUCGAUGCUAAUGGUAUGUGAAAAUCAAUAGAGGCAUUCAGAAAUUCAAUUAAAUUUCGGUGGUUUUUUGCUUCAUACCGGCUAGUUAGAGGCCAGGCUCUGAAGCCUUUGAUUAAUACACCAUCUCCAACUUUCAGAAAAGAAGAAGUAAGCGGCGAAGUAGAUGCCAUAUUCUGGCUGGGGACGUCAACUCGUGCCUCAACUAAGGAAACCUGGAAACAUCAACAGUACUAAAAUACUGCUACAAUGUCUCCAGAGCCAUUCAAUCAGUUGUCUUUAUUUAAAGAGCUUAAUCUUGUGCCUUUCCUCACCGCACUUCCUCCUCCACUGCAGGCAGAUUCGAACAGGAACUUUUCAACAUGUGAACUGCAGUGGCCACUCACGCUCGCGAUAAGGGAUGGCAGGAACAGCACACAUGUCAAAACAGAUGUUAAGUAGUUGAUAUAAGUAUCCACAGCAACCCCAUUAAUAUUUAAGCUUUCCAGUGGCACAUAUCUACUCCUCUUUCUUUGAAUUGUAAAUGGAGUUAGUUAAUCCUUCAUUUACUACUUGUUUGCAUUUCCCUGGUUUGAUAUGCAAGUGUUUACACUCUUCAUUUUUCUCAUCCCUAUGUACUUGUUUACAGCCGAAGAUGCCUUCCACAUUAGCUGGGCCUCCGGCACCACGCUUAGAUUUAUACUCUACUGACCUCAGUCACUUGAGUAAAAUAUUUGAGUGCAGGUACUCAAGUUCCAGCAAGGUGAAGUGUGCCGUCCAACUGGGACCGCAGCGGUCCAGCCUGCUCCGUGAGGCUCGCUCGUGCCCCGGCCCGCCCGUGGUCACCCCCUGAGCUUCGUUUAGUUGGGGCGGGGGGGGGCCAUGGCAUGGCUUGCCGCAGCAGAACUGCACGCACGCAGCGCUGUCGGUAGGAUCGAGCCUUUAAACUGGGGAUUUGGACAAUACACUACGAGGAUUACUGAACUCCUGUUCCUGAUGUGCUUUUUGUGAUCUACGAAGAAAUACUGUUAUAAUUCUGUGCCCUCUAGUGGCGCUUAAAAUCAUCUAUUAAUUUAAGUAAUAGUAAGGAAAGCAGUCUGUGAGCACAAAUAGCAUGGGCCAACAUUGAAAUGUAGCCAUAGAGGCCAGGACAGCUAGAAGCAAACGAAGGUAAUGCUCUUAGUGGUGAAGUAAGUACUUUAAUUUUACAGUGUGUGAAUAAAAGUAUUUCCCCAUUUAUUAUCUUUUAGUAUCUCUUAUUAAAUAAUGCUUUCAAAAGUAUAUAUUAUGGUAAUUAAUCUAAUCCCUACUCAUAAGUAUGUCAGAUAACCAGGGCAUGAUACACUGGUUGAAUGCUGAGUAGAUCGUUAGCACCCAGGCAGCUGCCUGCCCCAUACCAGGCAGAGGGGCCGUGCUAUGUGAAAAAACUAAUCCUCCUCUAAGUAUUUAUUGCAAAAUACAGAUCUACAUUUAUCCAACAACAAAUUCCCCCGAUAUUUUGGCUUCAGACCAUAUAAUACCUACAGAGAUGAGUCGUGUGAAAUUCUAGCGUGUCCACAUGGUCCAAGGUCGCCCUGGGUUCAGGUGUCAGUAAGAGGAUCUACUUGACGAAAUCUCCAAGGCAAGAACAUCCCAAGGAAUCUUGACUUCUCAAGGCUGCAGGUACAGUAUAUCCCACCUGCAGGCAGGACAAGGAAAAUGGCACGACAAAGUUCAGCUGGGGAGUAGCCGUUACUGUAAUUUAUGGCAAGUGCUGACAACAUAGUCUGCCAAAGUUGUAAAUCAUGGGUUUUAAGAUCACGUUGUAUUAUUCCAAAUAUAUACAUCAAAUGUUAUAUAUACUGAAUUGUGGAAGAAUCAGCUGAUAGAUGUAAUCUUUUCUGAUCAGGACAAAAUGUUACAUAUGUUUGGGAUUUCCAGGAUUCUCUUUCCAAUGUGUUACUUGUGAUAUGCUGUCUUAAAUCAGUAUUUCUGGAUUCUGUUUUUAUAAGAGAGGAAAUAAUUUAAACAGCAGUGAUAUUCCCAUAUUAAUAAUAUGUUUUUGCAACAGCAUGUGAACUUCUUUUCUAAGAUAUUUACGAAUGCAAUUUUGGGUUAGCCACACUAGAAGUUAAAGCAGGCCUUCACAAGGACUAAAUUUGCAGAUCAAUAACAGGAAUGCUGAAGAGCACUGGUGUAAUCAUGACACAGGGUAGAUAUUAAGAGAACAACCACCUUGCUACAGGGCAAAAAAAAGAGGGAAACAAAGAAGACCAGUGGUGUUGGAGGUCAGUGGCUGGAGUUGAGGAUGUCCAGUUCCAUGCCUCGCUCCGUGCUGCCAGGCCAGGAAGGAGCUGGAGCCUGCCCACGUCGAGUCCCAAGCAGCUAAGCAUGUAGUUGCCUCAAGACACAGAUGCUUACUGAGCUGCUGAAAAGCAGUUGUGUACCUAUACGCAGCUUUUAGUAUAUACUUGGUUUUGAAAAAUCUGUCUUUGUGCCUGAAUUACAUAUCUGUCACAGGGGGUGGUAGCAAUUUGUUCGCAGAGAGAGGGAUUGUUAGCAUAAAUUCAGGGAACAGUGUAAGAUGCUCAAAAUACUGCAAAGGGAGAACGGUACAAAUCACGUACAUACAGUGGCUGUUUUAAACAGAAAAGCAGCCAGAGUGCAAUCUGGAGGGCCUUCGUAGCAACGCUUUGCAAAGGUCAGUUUACCAUGGUAUCAUGUUUUGAGUUCAUUUGAGUUGCUUGUUAAUAACCUUUUUUGUGUUAUAUAAUACUGUGUGGUAUCGUGUAUGCUCGAGUUUUGCAUCUCUUUGUAAGAUUUUUAGCUUCCUGCCUAAUUAUAUGGAGGAGGGGAUACAGAUAGCUAUUCUUGGUGACAAGCAUACAAGAGUCAGGAAUAAGUUUUCAAAGCACUUAGGUGUUAGGAACAACUCAUUUGUUAGGUGGACCUGUUGUGUGGCCUGUAAUACAUGCUAUGCAUCUUCAGGAAACCCCAAAAUGAGCAUCACUGUUCCAUAAUAGAUCAUUAGCAAAAUGUCAGAUGAACAGCAUGUUAGCAGUUGUUGCAGAGCACCAAUAUCAAUAUUCCAAAAUGUUGGAAUAUUAUAUAUAUUACAUUAAUAUUUCAAGAUGUUGGAAUGUUUUCCUGCAAGAUUUUUUUUCACAUAAAUGAAAGAAGCAAGACUGUCAGUAGCAUGAGGCAUUCAUGCACUGAAAGCAGCAGAAAGGACUGCCCAAGCUUCCCGGUGUAUUAUUCCCGGGAUCACUUAACCUUGAACUCGAGGGAGUACCUUCAAAAGUAAUUUACUUUUGAUGCCCCUUUUAUGUGUUGAUAUUGCUAUUAGACUGCUAUGAGGUUGCUAGCUCUGAGGAAGACCUGUCUCCACAAAGACCUGUCCCGAUACCAGACUCUCAUUUUGAGCAGACCAUGGCCAGCACUGAUAAUCACUCUGGGUUACUACCAGCACAGGCUAAAUUUUAAUUGGAGUAUAAGACGUGAAUGGCUCUUCCGCAGUACCUGUGCCUCCUUGCCUCCUUGGCUGGAGGUAUGCUAGAAACACUUCUGCCUGGUUAUCACACCUGUGAAGACCAACUCCAGUUCGUGGGCCCCUUCUCCUGCCAGGAGCUGUUCGCUCCCGCCCAGCAAGAGGAACGGUUUGGCCUCCUCCCCUUCCCUGCUCCAGCUCAACAGCAGAAAUUCCCAGCCUUGCUUCUGUGCUGUCUGGCUGCCCUACCAAAAUGUUCAUUUUGCUUCCUGUCAUCUAGUAUUUCCUCUCACUAAUCAGAUAUUCAUCCCUGAUAAGAGAAUUAAUUGAUUCCAUUGAUUCCUACUUAACUACAUAUCUAAACAUCACUCUCCCUUAAUAAGGCAUGCCUCUGUGAAGCCACUGUGAGACUCCAACACUCCUAAAUAGCUCUUCUGUUCAUCUCUUUUGCUUUCUCUUUCAUUUCAUGUUGGUUUGGUGGUUUGGUUUUUUUUUGGUUUGGUUGUUGUUGUUUUUUUUUUUUUUUUUCUUACUAUUUUGUGGUGCUUUUCUUCCUUCCUUCCUAAGCUUCCUCCCUCUGUGAUUCAACUAUCUGGACUCCUGAGCAAACAGUCUGGUGACAAAACAAGACCAUAUGUUUUGAAAGGUGUCAACCCUUCCACAAGUGCAGGGCCUGCACCAUAGACCAUUCCCACUCUCUAAUCUAGUGAAACCAAAGCAUUUUGCCAUUACAAAAAAAAAAAAAAAGGAAAAAAAGACCAAAAAAAAGAGACAUGAGUCUAUACUGAGAGCUGCAGAGCAGUUUACCAUGCACAAGCUGGGAAUAUAACAUAAAUAUAAUAAAAUAUGAAAUAUUUUUUCAGAUAGAAAGGUUUCAUUUUGCAAAAUAUUUAUAUUUUCAAAAUCAUAUUCCCCAAAAUACCUAGAAGUUUUGGAGAAAACAUGCCAAUCAAAAAUGUUAAUGUUUAAUGUAAUCUUUUGUAUCCAAACAGUUUAUAAAUGAGAAGAGAUCCUUGGGAUCCUCGGGAUAUUGUCUUCAAAACUGCCUGUUUUCAAGGAGAAGACUGCAGUUUGUCUAGCUUUUGCAAGUCAGCAGUUCCUUCCAGCAGGCGUGGGAACAACCCACAGCAGACCUGAAGAAACCCAGCAAGAUCAGAAUACGGCCAUUUAGGAAUUCAGCAAGAAGACAUUAUUUUUUCAGGUUUCCAAUGUAGGAGACAAGGAGGUUCAUUGGUUCCAACUGAUGAGAAGAAGAAAAUAAUCGGCUCAGACAGGCUGCUUGAAGGAGGCUGGUGCUGGAAGACCGAGCAGCUGUGGGGGAACGGAAUGAAAACCGGCGGCCCUAAAAUUUAUCUUUAUUUGACACCGUCCUUAGCGCUGUGAUGCUGCUGGUGAACGCCAACAUCGACGUGCGGGGCUGACCGCAUCCUCAGCCUCCUCAGCGUGAACCGCAUCCUCCUCCGCAUCCUCCGCACCGCCCGGGCCCCGGCGGCCCCCCCGGGACCGGGGGCACCACCGGGGGCCGGGCCCGUCAGUAUCUCGGUGCCCUCAGCAGGUGGCAGUGGCGGCCCACG